GGACGACGUCAAUACAUCAUGCCCCUUACUGACCUGGGCUACACACGUGCUACAAUGGAUGGUACAGAGGGAAUGCGAAACCGCGAGGUGGAGCCAAUCUCGCGAAAGCCAUUCUCAGUUCGGAUUGCAGGCUGCAACUCGCCUGCAUGAAGUCGGAAUCGCUAGUAAUUCGAGAUCAGCAUGCUCGGGUGAAUGCGUUCCCGGGCCUUGUACACACCGCCCGUCACACCACGAAAGUCGGUUUUACCCGAAGCCGGCGAGCCAAACGUCGACGCGGCCG
rnacentral:rRNA from 1 species